ensembl:lncRNA
AAGAGAAAAGAGGCCCUAGGCAGGCCUACACUGUCUUGCUGGAAAAGAGCAACCCACAUCAGCCACCUCGGCAUGUGAGCUGCUGAGACAGCUCUUCAGACCGCAUCCAGAUCACAGCUGUCCUGCCCAUGGAGCACCUGAUCGGGGUGCUUGGAGGCUAACACCUGCCCUGCAUGGCCUAUGUCACCCUCUAAAAGCUCUGAAUCACUCUAUAGCUUGAGUAGAAUGGCAUGCAGUCCCCCUUGGUGGGGAUCAAGAAGGACACACAUUCUAAAGCUGCAGGUGAGUGCAUUUCUUCCUUCUCACCCCAAUCAUUUUAAAUAGCAGAUAUCUGUAAAAUACAAUGAUAGAUCUUAAAAAGUAGUUGUACAUUUCAAAUUUUCUGCUGGGAGAAUUUCUAAUAAUUUUUGCAUUUUUUUGGGGGGGGCUCUUUUUUGUUUGUUUUUGUUUGUUUGUUUGUUUUUGUUUUUACUUGGCUUAUUACUAGCUAAUAUCAAUAUCUAUUAACUGAAGUCAUAGGCCAAGUUGGUAUAGUUCUAGAUGAAGACAGCAGUUGGCUGCACUGUGCUGGCACACUUACACACUUACUUACUUACAGUGAGACACAUCAUUAAAACAAAGUACAACAUUUUACAGAGAACUGUAAUAUUGCAGAGGUAAACUGGCGAGACAAGCAGUUUUUACAGAAUUCUCUAGAACGUCAAAUUUUCCGUAUUUCCAAUAUGUAGUUAUAUGUGUAUAAAUCAAUAUCUCUAAGGCUCCACACUCUUGAAAUAAGGACAUAACCCACACUUAUUCCGGAGACUUGUAGCAUGACAGGUUUAAACCAGGCUCCUUAUUUAAAAUUGUAAGAUAUGAUUCCUGGAUGAAAACUCAAGGGAAUAUGGAGUAAAAGUGUAUAUUUGCUAUUCUACUGUAUGCAACAUUCAUGAGAGCAUUAUCAGUCAUUGGGUCAAGUUUCAUUGUAUUUCUAGAAUGGGUUCAAGAAAGAACUGCAGGAGUGAUUUAAGAAUAUAUGCUUUUCAGCAGGGAAUUAAAGAAAGGCCAGUGUACUCUUCUACUACCCACUCAAAAAGGUUUAUGAUGAUUUUUCAGUUAGCAUGCUGAAUUGCAAGGAAUACUAGGAGAAAUUUGAAUCCAGUUUCAAAUCAAAAAUAAUACUUCUUUGUAAAAGGAUGUAAUGAAUUAGUGGAGCAACAUUAUUAGGGAUAUUACAAUUGAGGUCCGUCAAAUGAACUUUUGGGGAUGUGUCUUAGCUAAAACAGAAAUGCUAGAUUUCUUGCAAGAAUUGCACAAUGCCAUUUUCUAACAUUCAGAGCUUUCUGUGCUUUACUCAGUGAAGUUGAGAAGCUUUUACCAUAUGUUGUCUCUUUUCUACUCUUGAGUAUUUUUCUGUGGCUACUUUUCUGUGACAGGAUGAUCACUUUUUCUUCCAGGAGAUGAACAAGCUGAGGUGCUUUAACUCUUGCAUGAGAAUUAGAAUGAGGUCUUGUUGAAUUCCUUUUUUUUUGUUUUCCUUUGUUUGUUUUUGCACACUCACUUUGAACUUUUGUAUGUUUGAAAACAAGACAAAGAUACUAUGUAUCUAACACAAGUCUUGUUAGUGCUGUGUGUAUUCUUCAGCUUUAAAUUCCCGUUUUGUAUAACCAAAGAUUGCAUUAGUCCUUUAGCAGUGGCAAGCUUAUACAUCAGUGCUUGUAGCUGAUGAAUCCUAAACACUAUUUUCUCAGAAUAGGUCUUUUGUCAUAGCUUGACUGUUUUGUUCACAUACAUAUUUCACUGAAUAUUUCUGUAAUAAAAAAUAUUUAUUGGCGAUCA